rnacentral:rRNA from 1 species
UACGUAGGGAGCUAGCGUUGUCCGGAAUCAUUGGGCGUAAAGCGCGCGUAGGCGGCCCGGUAAGUCCGCUGUGAAAGUCAAAGGCUCAACCUUUGAAUGUCAGCGGAUACUGCCGGGCUAGAGUCCGGAAGAGGCGAGUGGAACUCCUGGUGUAGCGGUGGAAUGCGCAGAUAUCAGGAAGAACACCAACGGCGAAGGCAGCUCGCUGGGACGGAACUGACGCUAAGGCGCGAAAGCGUUGGGAGCGAACAGG